AGAGUUUGAUCAUGGCUCAGAACGAACGGCGGCGUGGAUUAGGCAUGCAAGUCGAACGAAUGUUACUGGUGUAGCAAUACAUUGGUGGCGGAAGUGGCGAAAGGGGCAGUAAUGCAUGGGUAACCUACCCGGGGGUCGUGGAUAGCCUUCCUAACGGAUGGGUAAUACACGGCGAUUCGUCGAGGGGGCAUUCUCUUGACGGGAAAGAAUUUCGCCUCCGGAGGGGCUCAUGUCGUAUUAGCUAGUUGGUGAGGUAACGGCUCACCAAGGCGAAGAUGCGUAGCGGGUGUGAGAGCACGACCCGCGCCACUGGCACUGAGACACUGGCCAGACACCUACGGGUGGCUGCAGUCGAGGAUCUUCGGCAAUGGGCGCAAGCCUGACCGAGCGACGCCGCGUGGAGGAUGAAGGCCUUCGGGUUGUAAACUCCUGUCGAGGGGGAUCAAGGGCAACUUGAGUGAUCCCUGGAGGAAGCACGGGCUAAGUUCGUGCCAGCAGCCGCGGUAAGACGAACCGUGCGAACGUUGUUCGGAAUCACUGGGCAUAAAGGGCGCGUAGGCGGCCUGUCAAGUCAGGGGUGAAAUCCGGCAGCUCAACUGUCGAAGUGCCUUUGAUACUGACGGGCUCGAGGGAGGUAGGGGUCGCUGGAACUUCCGGUGGAGCGGUGAAAUGCGUUGAUAUCGGAAGGAACGCCGGUGGCGAAAGCGAGCGACUGGAUCUCUUCUGACGCUGAGGCGCGAAAGCUAGGGGAGCAAACGGGAUUAGAUACCCUAGUAGUCC
rnacentral:rRNA from 1 species